GAUGAACGCUGGCGGCGUGCCUAAUACAUGCAAGUCGAGCGAACGGACGAGAAGCUUGCUUCUCUGAUGUUAGCGGCGGACGGGUGAGUAACACGUGGAUAACCUACCUAUAAGACUGGGAUAACUUCGGGAAACCGGAGCUAAUACCGGAUGAUAUUUUGAACCGCAUGGUUCAAAAGUGAAAGACGGUCUUGCUGUCACUUAUAGAUGGAUCCGCGCUGCAUUAGCUAGUUGGUAAGGUAAUGGCUUACCAAGGCAACGAUGCAUAGCCGACCUGAGAGGGUGAUCGGCCACACUGGAACUGAGACACGGUCCAGACUCCUACGGGAGGCAGCAGUAGGGAAUCUUCCGCAAUGGGCGAAAGCCUGACGGAGCAACGCCGCGUGAGUGAUGAGGGUCUUCGGAUCGUAAAACUCUGUUAUUAGGGAAGAACAUAUGUGUAAGUAACUGUGCACAUCUUGACGGUACCUAAUCAGAAAGCCACGGCUAACUACGUG
rnacentral:rRNA from 1 species